UUCUGGUUGAUCCUGCCAGUAGUCAUAUGCUUGUCUCAAAGAUUAAGCCAUGCAUGUCUAAGUACAUACCGAAAUAAGGUGAAACCGCGAAUGGCUCAUUAAAUCAGUUACGGUUCCUUAGAUAUUGACUAUCUACAUGGAUAACUGUGGUAAUUCUAGAGCUAAUACAUGCAAAAAAUCCUCGACCUUCGGGAAGAGGAGCAUUUAUUAGACCAAGACCAAUGGGACCCUCGGGUUCCUCUGGGUGGUGACUCUGGAUAACUAUGCUAAUCGCAUGGCCUAUGUGCCGGCGAUGAAUCUUUCAAGUGUCUGCCUUAUCAACUGUCGAUGGUAGGUUAUGCGCCUACCAUGGUUGUAACGGGUAACGGGGAAUCAGGGUUCGAUUCCGGAGAGGGAGCCUGAGAAACGGCUACCACAUCCAAGGAAGGCAGCAGGCACGCAAAUUACCCACUUCCGGCACGGAGAGGUAGUGACGAAAAAUAACAAUACGGGACUCUAUUGAGGCUCCGUAAUUGGAAUGAGAACAAUUUAAAUCCUUUAACGAGGAUCUAUUGGAGGGCAAGUCUGGUGCCAGCAGCCGCGGUAAUUCCAGCUCCAAUAGCGUAUAUUAAAGUUGUUGCGGUUAAAAAGCUCGUAGUUGGAUCUCAGUCCAAGCUAAGGGGUCCACUUGUUAGUGGCUACUUCUUAGCUGGACAUUUUACCGAGCCGUCUUUUGAUGCUCUUCACCGAGUGUCAUGAGCGAUCGGUACGUUUACUUUGAAAAAAUUAGAGUGCUCAAAGCAGGCGUAACGCCCGAAUAAUCUUGCAUGGGAUAAUGGAAUAGGACCUCGGUUCUAUUUUGUUGGUCUUCGGGACCUGAGGUAAUGAUUAAGAGGGACAGACGGGGGCAUUCGUACUGCGACGUUAGAGGUGAAAUUCUUGGAUCGUCGCAAGACGCACUACUGCGAAGGCAUUUGCCAAGAAUGUUUUCAUUAAUCAAGAACGAAAGUUAUGGGUUCGAAGGCGAUCAGAUACCGCCCUAGUCAUAACCGUAAACGAUUCAAACUAGGCGCCCGACGGCGUUUUCAUUGACCCGUCGCACGCCUUGCCGGAAACGAAAGUGUUCGUGUUCCGGGGGAAAUAUGUCUGCAAAGAGGAAACUUAAAGGAAUUGACGGAAGGGCACCACCAGGGGUGGAGCCUGCGGCUUAAUUUGACUCAACACGGGGAAACUCACCCGGCCCGGACACCGUAAGGAUUGACAGAUUGAGAGCUCUUUCUUGAUUCGGUGGGUGGUGGUGCAUGGCCGUUCUUAGUUGGUGGAGUGAUUUGUCUGGUUUAUUCCGAUAACGAACGAGACUCUGGCCUGCUAACUAGUGUUCGGAUCUUUACGUCCGCUUCGCUUCUUAGAGGGACAGGCGGCGCUUAGCCGCAUGAAAAAGAGCAAUAACAGGUCUGUGAUGCCCUUAGAUGUCCGGGGCUGCACGCGCGCUACACUGAAAGAAUCAGCGUGUUGUUUUACCUGGCUCGAAAGAGCUGGGUAAUCCGGUGAAAAUCUUUCGUGAUUGGGAUCGGGACUUGCAAUUAUUUCCCUUGAACGAGGAAUCCCUAGUAAGUGCGGGUCAUCAGCUCGCGCUGAUUACGUCCCUGCCCUUUGUACACACCGCCCGUCGCUGCCCGGAACUGAGCCGUUUCGAGAAAAAUGGGGACUGUCUGCUUGUGGCCUUCACGGGCUGUUUGCAGAUGGAAACCGCUUUAAUCGCAGCGGCUUGAACCGGGCAAAAGUCGUAACAAGGUUUCCGUAGGUGAACCUGCA
rnacentral:rRNA from 1 species